rnacentral:rRNA from 1 species
GAGACCCAUUUCCACUGUUGCUAACGACUCCGUGAGGAGGGCGAGUACACUGUGGAGACCGCUGGCGCUAAGCCAGAGGAAGGAUUGGUCGACGGUAGGUCAGUAUGCCCCGAAUAUCCCGGGCUACACGCGGGCUACAAUGGAUAGGACAAUGGGUAACGACACCGAAAGGUGAAGUCAAUCUCUUAAACCUAUCCUUAGUUCGGAUUGAGGGCUGAAACUCGCCCUCAUGAAGAUGGAAUCCGUAGUAAUCGCAUUUCAAAACAGUGCGGUGAAUAC